CACCAAAAAAACGUAAGUCAAUAUUUAAUGAGAAAAUAAAUAAGUGUAAGAAUCUCACUUCCCAGUGAUUCAAAGACUGUUGAUUUUACUCACUAUUGCUCUGUUGUGUUGUAACUGACAGACGUGAAGUAACUGGUGGCUAAAUAUCUUUGUCUUCUCUUUUUAGUCUAGGAGAGCCAACAUCCAGGACUUGUUGACGACAGAGACGAUGUGUUUACCCCUGGACCAGAUGAGAAGGAUGGACGACUACAGGAGCAGCAGGAGGGCGGUGGUGGCCUUUCUUUCACUAGGCUAAGGCGGGACUCCUCUGUGUUUGUGGUACUCUUUGAGCAGCUGAGAGUGGCUGUCAAUCAUCUCAGGCAGAACCAGGACCACAGCAGACCACUGAGCCACUCUCAGCCUCAACCCCCCCUGCCUCUCCAGCCCGACCCCGACAACACCACCAGGUCCUGCCCCCACCCGACCAGCACAGAGGACGCUGUUACCAUCUUCUUCUUCUGUGCUGAAGGGUUUGGGAAGCUCCUCACACACACAGGAAGCCCACACCACAGACAGCUGAGAAACUAUUCUAAAGGCAUUGAGUUUAUUACACUGAAUACAGUUUGUAAGGACCAUACUGUUUAUCUUCUGAAUAAAUAUCUUAAAUAAAAAACACAUUUGGUGCAAAUUAUUUGAUUUAAAUUGUUUUAAUAUUUGAUAACAUUCCUGUUGGUUGCAUUUGAGUGUUGGAACAAACAACCUAUUGGUUGUGUGGUUUGGAGGAUUUGUUGGUUUUGUAAGUCUUGAAUUCUUUUUGCUCCACUGAUGAAUGAAGACUCUGAAAACUGAAAAAGUCCUGAAUUCACAAUAAUUAAAUGGGGACCACAUUUAGCCCUCUGGGGUCCAUCCAUUUAUUGAAAAUGCACAUGUUUCAUUUACAGUAAUAACUUUAUUUAUAUAUGAUAUGUAGACAAGCUGAGAAAGCCUGUUGAAAGUGCAAUCAUAGCACUUUUCACAGUGUGCCAUUUAUGUUUCUAGACCAUUUUUAAAAUGUGAAUUUUCUUUCGACAAUGAAAACUAUUACUAUUUUUAAUUAAUAUGCAAAUAGAC